rnacentral:misc_RNA from 1 species
UCCGGUUCUUCACCAGCAGUCUCCUUAGAGUCCCCGCCAUGACGCGCUGGUAACUAAGGAUAAGGGUUGCGCUCGUUACGGGACUUAACCCAACAUCUCACAACACGAGCUGACGACAGCCAUGCAGCACCUGUCUCUAGGUUCCUUUCGGCACAACCGUAUCUCUACAGUCUUCCUAGGAUGUCAAGGGUAGGUAAGGUUCUUCGCGUUGCAUCGAAUUAAACCACAUGCUCCACCGCUUGUGCGGGCCCCCGUCAAUUCCUUUGAGUUUUAAUCUUGCGACCGUACUCCCCAGGCGGAAGACUUAUCGCGUUAGCUUCGAUACUAAUAGGUCUAAGCCUACCAACAUCUAGUCUUCAUCGUUUACAGCGUGGACUAC